rnacentral:tRNA from 1 species
GGAGAUUUAGCUCAGUUGGUAGAGCGCUUGCCUAGGAAGCGCAAGGCCCUGGGUUCGGUCCCCAGCUCCG